rnacentral:rRNA from 1 species
AGUGAACGCUGGCGGUAGGCCUAACACAUGCAAGUCAAACGGCAGCACAGGAGAGCUUGCUCUCUGGGUGGCGAGUGGCGGACGGGUGAGGAAUACAUCGGAAUCUACUCUGUCGUGGGGGAUAACGUAGGGAAACUUACGCUAAUACCGCAUACGACCUACGGGUGAAAGCAGGGGACCUUCGGGCCUUGCGCGAUUGAAUGAGCCGAUGUCGGAUUAGCUAGUUGGCGGGGUAAAGGCCCACCAAGGCGACGAUCCGUAGCUGGUCUGAGAGGAUGAUCAGCCACACUAGAACUGAGACACGGUCCAGACUCCUACGGGAGGCAGCAGUGGGGAAUAUUGGACAAUGGGCGCAAGCCUGAUUCAGCCAUACCGCGUGGGUGAAGAAGGCCUUCGGGUUGUAAAGCCCUUUUGUUGGGAAAGAAAUCCGGCUGGCUAAUACCCGGUUGGGAUGACGGUACCCAAAGAAUAAGCACCGGCUAACUUCGUGCCAGCAGCCGCAGUAA